rnacentral:sRNA from 1 species
ACUGGGUGCUGUGGCACACACCUGUAAUCCCAGCAGCUCAGGAGGUUGAGGCAGGAGGAUCGUGAGUUCAAAGCCAGCCUCAGAAAUGGUGAGGCACUAAGCAACUCAGUGAGACCCUGUCUCUA